GAUUGAUUUGUUUAUUUUAGGAAUUCAUUUAUUUAUUUAUUCGAAAUUUAUUUAUGUCAAAAAUCCUUUUUAGAAAAUUUCUUUGUUAACUUCAAUACUAUCACUUGAAAUUUCAAUCCAAUUAGAUAUCUUAUCGAAAACAAUGUAAAGAUGGUACAUAUACAUAAGUUUAUUGUUUUGGAAUUUGCAUUGUAAAACUGCUAACGACAGGUUUGUCCUCUCUUACCUAAAUCGAUUACAACAUCCGUUUGGAAAAUUCUCUACAUAAAAGGAUUUAAAAUUGAACAAUAAAUUUUAUUCGCUUACAGACAGAAAUUUUGUGGUUUAAAUCCAGAUACAUAAGAAAAGAAGGCAAAGAUUGUAUCCUUUUUUGAGGGAGGAUAAGUUUAGUAUGCUUGAAUUCAUUUCGAACCGAAAACAUAACAAAAUUCGGAUCAAGCUCUUGAUAUGAGAAUACUAUGUAUAUAUUAAAGAAAUGUUAAUUUGAGGUUAGCAACCUUUAAACUUGUGACAAAAAGAGCCCGAAGAUGCAUCAAUUGCUUGGUUGAAAAUUAAGGCAAUCAACAGAAUAUCAUAGCAAGGACUCGAAGGACUCUCUAUUUAAUAUUCUUUCUGAUAAAGUAACAAAAACCCUAUGGGUAUUUCCUGUCUGGGAAAAAUAUGUUUCGAUAUAUUUUCUCAAUUUUUAUUAUUCUCUCUGUGUAUGUUUAUUUGUUCAUUUAUUCUUGUAUCAUUUUUAUUUUUAUCCUAACACGAUUUGGGAUUAUUUAUAUUGCAUGAGCAGAACGUGAUUCUCUUUUUGGAAAUAAAUGUCAUUCGGGAUUUAGAUGUCAUCUCAAAAGCAGAGUAAAAGUAAAACCGACACAAGCACACAAGACACAACGGUGCUAAGAAAUGUUCAUAUUUGUUUGAAGCUACAACGGCAAACAAAAAUUUUAAGUGCGGUUCAGGUGGUCCUUUCUUGUCAGUUAAAAUUCUAGGUAGAAACAUAUGUUCA